GAUGAACGCUAGCGGCAGGCCUAACACAUGCAAGUCGAGGGAGAAGCCCUUUCGGGGGCAGAAACCGGCGCACGGGUGCGUAACGCGUAUGCAACCUACCUUUCACAGGGGGAUAGCCCGAAGAAAUUUGGAUUAAUACCCCAUAAUAUUAUUGGAUGGCAUCAUUUGAUAAUUAAAACUGCGGUGGUGAAAGAUGGGCAUGCGUCCUAUUAGCUAGUUGGAGUGGUAACGGCACCCCAAGGCUACGAUAGGUAGGGGUCCUGAGAGGGAGAUCCCCCACACUGGUACUGAGACAGGGACCAGACUCCUACGGGAGGCAGCAGUGAGGAAUAGUGGUCAAUGGUCGGAAGACUGAACCAGCCAUGCCGCGUGCAGGAAGAAUGCCUUAUGGGUUGUAAACUGCUUUUAUAUGGGAAGAAUAAGGUGUACGUGUACAUUGAUGACGGUACCAUAUGAAUAAGCAUCGGCUAACUCCGUG
rnacentral:rRNA from 1 species